rnacentral:rRNA from 1 species
UACGUAGGGCGCGAGCGUUGUCCGGAAUUAUUGGGCGUAAAGAGCUCGUAGGCGGCCUGUUGCGUCCGCUGUGAAAACUCGAGGCUCAACCUCGAGAUGUCGGUGGAAACCGUCUGGCUAGAGUCCGGAAGAGGAGAGUGGAAUUCCCGGUGUAGCGGUGAAAUGCGCAGAUAUCGGGAAGAACACCCGUGGCGAAGGCGGCUCUCUGGGACGGUACUGACGCUGAGACGCGAAAGCGUGGGGAGCGAACAGG